rnacentral:rRNA from 1 species
UUACCGUGAAAAAAUUAGAGUGUUCAAAGCAGGCAGAUUCAAUUUUCUGCCACCGAAUACAUUAGCAUGGGAUAAUGGAAUAGGACCCUGUCCUCCUAUUUUCAGUUGGUUUUGGCAGCGCGAGGACUAGGGUAAUGAUUAAUAGGGAUAGUUGGGGGCAUUAAUAUUUAAUUGUCAGAGGUGAAAUUCUUGGAUUUAUGAAAGAUUAACUUCUGCGAAAGCAUCUGCCAAGGAUGUUUUCAUUAAUCAAGAACGAAAGUUAGGGGAUCGAAGACGAUCAGAUACCGUCGUAGUCUUAACCAUAAACGAUGCCGACCAGCGAUUAGGAGACGUUGAAUACAAAACACCACCAUCGGCGCGGUCGUCCUUGGCGUUCGUGUUCACGCACGAGCGCGAGGCGCUAGUCCGGUCCA